rnacentral:rRNA from 1 species
UAACCUGCCCAAGAGAUCGGGAUAACACCUGGAAACAGAUGCUAAUACCGGAUAACAACAGAUGAUGCCUAUCAACUGUUUAAAAGAUGGUUCUGCUAUCACUCUUGGAUUGACCUGCGGUGCAUUAGCUAGUUGGUAGGGUAACGGCCUACCAAGGCGAUGAUGCAUAGCCGAGUUGAGAGACUGAUCGGCCACAUUGGGACUGAGACACGGCCCAAACUCCUACGGGAGGCAGCAGCC